GUGAGAGUGUGUUGGUCAGCUGCUGACAGCUCAAACCCAAGAAGUCCUUGCUGCCAUGUUGCAAUUGCUUUGGAGUGACUGGAAGAUAAGAAAAGUGCCCACUGGGAAGGAAGAGCAGGUUCCAAGGUACCAGUAGGAAGGAGACAGCAAGUGAGCUUGCUGGGGAAGAUAAAAUAGGGUUGGAGCUGUUUUGAAAGAUCACUGUGAUUCAAAGUAGGAUGGAGAGGUGAUUAGUGGGGUAGGUGAACAAAGAGAGGGCAGGGAUGGUGCCCACUAGACUAACUGGAGGUGGCAGUAGCUUGAAUGACCCAUGCAGCAGAGAUGGCUAAUGACGUGCCUUGUAUUCUCAAGAGCAAUAGUCAGCAGUACCCAGGGGAAAAUGGUGCUAAAUGACCUGUCAGCUUCAGCCUACUUCCAGGGGAUUCGACUCCAGACUGUCUGCAAGUCGCUCUGAGAAAUGGCACCGACUGGCUCCCCGGCUGCUGCUGUCGGUUGGUCAGAGAUUGCAUCCUGGACCUGAACUCCCUGCUCAAAGCUUCACCUCAACCACUCCAUGGCAUGAAGUUUAUUGUCCACUCUUGACACCUGAGCAAGGUGGGUUGACUGAGCAUCUAGAAACUGUUUUUUGACUUCUGCUGCCUACCACCCCUGUUAAUUGACAGUCUGCCUUCUGCCUUUCUGAUGCCAUGUAGUGCUGCCAAGCCACAUUAACUCGGCCUUACAUCUUCUGGCAUAUGCCUCCCCUGGGGCACAGUGCCUGCUGUUCAGCUCCCAGCACUGACAGAUGAAGGUAAACACUUCAGGGUAAGCAAGUCUAAUGCUCCUUAUUUGCACACCUAUGAAAAAAUCAAAGUCAGCCAUUCAUCUCUCCUGGUCGGUAAACACAGAAACCAACUGGGCUGUGCUGCAUCUGGCUCCCCGGGGGAUUGUUUUCAUAAGACUUCUUGUGAGGAUUUUUGUUGCUGAUUUUGAAAACAUUUUGAGGUUGGAUUGCAAAUGUGAUGUCCUCAUUUACAGCCUUUCCUGAACCAUAAAUCAAGGGAUAUGUAAUUAAAUGAAACAGAUAGUCAAAACCUUGACUAAGCUGUUUAUUGAGCUUUGGAAGGGAAAGAGAUUCUGUGGUUUCACAAAGAUCUAAUAUAAAGAUCCACUUAUAAAAUACAGUUGUUAAGGUUCAGGUAUGCCAGCAUUAAUGCAUGAUAGCAGCUAGCACUGUGCAGCACAUACUAGAGAAACCCAUUUGCCUGGAUGAAACCCGGACUGUAGGACACUUUGCAAUAUGAAAUGAGAACUGUUCAAAUCAAAUAACUUGCUUGGGCCUGUGAAUUAUUUAUUUAGGGCUCUUUUUCCAUAAACCAAAACAUAUUUUGCCCCCCUGACAUUUUUUCUAACAUUACUGGUAAGAGGGGAGAUCUGUAUUAUUUAUUUAUUUAUUUAUUUAUUUACUUAUUUUUAGAAUCUUCUAAGAUGUUUUAAAAUUUAAUUUUAUGACAUAGAUUAGCUUUCAAACAAAGAGCUGCUUCUACCUGAAAACAAGUUUUGAAUGGGAGGAGAAGAAAAAUGUCAAUCUUCUUGCUGGAAAAAAAAAAAAAUCCAAUUAGAUGUUUGUGAGAUAUGUAAGUCAGAACAAUGCCGCACUUUGACAAAAUUUUUGUCAAUUUUUUUGUCAAACUUUUUUGUCAAAAGAUUUUGACAAAAAAAAAAAAAAAAAAAAAAAAAAGGAAAAAAUGAUCAGUAUACCCAAGGAGCAAGAAGAGGACGAGAUUCUUGCUUUUGAGUCCUUAUUUCAGUUAGUUUAUAUCAGCUGGAUAAGUGUCCCUUCUUGCUUUUCAUCUGCCCUCCUCCCUCCCCAGCAUAAAUUGGGCAACCCGAAGCACCACGGUGGUGAUGGUCACUUUCACAAGGACUUGAGUUGAGGGUGGAGUUUACAGCACAAGCUGGGAGGCCGGGCAGUCACCGUCCUGCAUUGCUGAAGUGAUGGGGCAUCUGGGGCUCUGCGCUGUAGCACAGUGCUCUCUGCAGACCAAGUGCCACGGAGCUGGGAGCGCUGAGGCUGGCUUUCUCAGUUUUCCUUGCUGCUGGAAACAAAACACUGCAGACAGACUGACAGGUCUGGAGAGAGCACAGAGUCAUCAAGAGCCAUGUUAGAAGUCAAGCUGGUACACUCCUUAGCGUCUUUUCCAAUGUUACCUGCUGAUGUUUGAUCUGCUGUGUAAUGCAAGUGAAUGCCACUUCUCUAUUUCCCCCAUACAUUUAUGUAUGUAUGUAGAUGUAUGUGUACAUUUGUUAUUAUACAACUAGUCACUUAAGUAAAUACGGAUCUCCAUGCUUAUUCUUACUUCUACCUUCCAAUCCUUUUAACUUUAAUCCAUCCAGCUUUGUGAAAUCCAAGUUACGCUCUUCACCUCCUGCCUUGGUGAUAUAUUGUGAGCAAAAUUCUUUAAAAUUACAUCAGUGCAUCCCAAGAUGGGUAUCUUUCCUUUUGUUUGGUCCCUUAUAUUCUUAGACCACACAUACCCCACUAGAGUUUGUUAGAAUCUGCAUGUAAGCAGUAAGUCACUACUGUUUUCUUCACUGCCAUGUGCUGUUUGCAUCUUCUUGCUUGGCAAAUUAAAAAAAUCUUUAAAGGACCACACAUAGCAGCUGAGGACAUUUCUCCAUGUCCUGGCCUUCUGACAGCAUUGUCAGCUGUGAGCAUGUGAAAAAUCAAACUAACCCUGGUGUCAGGGGAUGUGCUUUCUUCUACAUCUUAGGAAAUCCACUCUUCCUAGCUGCUGGUGCCACUGAGCUCCCCUUUUCUGUAGUUGCUCAAGCCUCUCUGUAGCUAGAGAUGUCCAGAUCUCUUCAAAACUGGGGAGAAGUUUUGAAUAGCUACAGCUUUUACUAAGGGGACAAAUCUGAGCUCCUAUGUAGGUUUGGGGUUCUUUAUUUGUCUAUUUCAGUUGCAAGCAUUUCCAAAUGUAAGAUAACCUGAAAUGGCAUCACCUCUCAGGGUUGGAAUGCUGAUGCCUCAAGAUCAGCUUUUGCAGAAAUUACUGUAGGGAUGUAGUUGGUGUUGGGGUACGAAGAUGGGAUGUGGGCACCCAACGAUUCCUUGCCUAAGCAAUGGCAGCAAUGACAGCAAACUCUUGCUCAGUGUCUUCAGGAGGGACAGGAUUCAGCAGUUGUCUCCAUCACUAAGCUCAAGGUAUGUUUGGAGAGGUUAUAUCUGGUCAUAGGUUCCCUCUCCCAACACUGAUAUGUUGCUGGAGGGUGAAUGGGAAGUUGUUGGGAUUGAGAUUGUAUGGGAAGGUGUGGGAGAGCAGGGGCUAAGUAUGGAAAUUGCAGCAGUGAGUCACAA
rnacentral:lncRNA from 1 species